UUCUUAGUAUACUUAUGUCCCAGGCCAUAUUUGGGACAUACUUAUACUAAAA
rfam:Pan troglodytes isolate Yerkes chimp pedigree #C0471 (Clint) chromosome 6, whole genome shotgun sequence.